rnacentral:tRNA from 1 species
GUCCCCGUCGUCUAGUGGUUAGGACACCACCCUUUCAAGGUGGUGACACGGGUUCAAAUCCCGUCGGGGGCA